AUGCUUUCAGUCUGACACUAAAAGUCAUUUAUUGUGUUUCACAGGAUACUGAGGCACUGGGGCCACACACAAAGGCCAUGAAAAUGGGGAUCCUGGAAGUGACUGACAGUUCUACCAACUCAGGACCAUAUCCCACAGUGGUCAAUGUGGCUGUAGUACUGGAGGAGGAAGUUGUCAUGGACAAUCUGGGAGACUUCACAAAAGAGUGCACAGCAAGGAUACAGUCCUUGAAAAACAAGUUAUUACAGGAAGAUUUGGUGUUGAUGAAGGAGGCAACAUCUUCAAGGCAAAACCUUAGACCUGAUGCAACAUCAUCCAGUGUCAAAAUCACCAUUUAGGAGGCACUUGAAGACCAGUGCCCAAUAUGCACAGGAACAUUUCCAGUGUCAGAAGUAGACCUGCCAUGCAGGACUUUUUUUGCAAUCUUUUAUUUUUUAAUUACAAAAUAAUUAGUUUUACUUUCAAACACAGAAUGUUUGAUUGAAUAAUAAAGACACAAAAAUCAUUCCAUACGAUGGUCGCUAAGAAGAUAGGACGCAAUGAAAACCCUGUGGUCACUGUGGUUUCUCCUUUGGUCGCACUCAUGGAGGACCAAGUAAAAGAAGCUACCGAAAUGGGCAUCACGGCGAUGCAACUCGGCGUGCACAGCGAGGUGGACAUAACCAGCGGUCGUUGUCUGCUCCGAAUCCUGGCUGCUGAACAAGAAGUGGAGGGACAUGCUAGGCUCCGAUGUUUUUCAAGACAACGUAAUGGGUAUCGUCGUGGAUGAAGUUCAUCUCAUUUACAAAUGGUAAGAUUUAAUCUGACUGUCUGACCUAGAAAAUAACUCAUAACAUAGAGACAUGAAGCAAAUGUUGUAAAAAAUAUAUUGUACCUAACUUAGUCCCGAUGUAAGUUACGUCUGUAAAGUCAGUUUUGUGCAAUCAUAACGAGAGUCUCAGUGAAAUAACAAAAAGUUCAAACAUUCUCACUUACUGCGUUGCUCUGAUUGGUUGUAGGUCUAUCCAACUGAGUGCAGAGGUUUUUUUUUUACUGGUUCGGUUAAGA